rnacentral:tRNA from 1 species
GUACGUGUAGCUCAGCUGGAUAGAGCGUCUGGCUACGGACCAGAAGGUCGAGGGUUCGAAUCCUUUCACGUACG